rnacentral:rRNA from 1 species
CUGCAUGGAUUGUGGUGGAAAGCUUUUGCGGUGUGGAUGGGCCCGCGGCCUAUCAGCUUGUUGGUGGGGUGACGGCCUACCAAGGCGACGACGGGUAGCCGGCCUGAGAGGGUGUCCGGCCACACUGGGACUGAGAUACGGCCCAGACUCCUACGGGAGGCAGCAGUGGGGAAUAUUGCACAAUGGGCGCAAGCCUGAUGCAGCGACGCCGCGUGGGGGAUGACGGCCUUCGGGUUGUAAACCUCUUUCAGCAGGGACGAAGGGUGACUGACGGUACCUGUAGAAGAAGCACCGGCCAACUACGUG